CCUGAUGCCCACACUCUGAGGAAGCCCGGGCUUUGGUAAGCAGCCUGCAGGUGUCCUGGGCCCGACCUUCCAGCCAACGGGCUCCCAGCCCUGAAUUGCGCAGCAGAGCCGGGGUGUCCCACUCCUGGGAGGCUAAGCUCGUCACCCCCAGGACCCUCAGAGCAGAAGAGGAAGAGCAGAGCAGGAGAGGAGGAGGAAAGAGGGGUGUGGAGUGAUGGUAGCAGUGAGUAGACAGGGCCACACAUGCUGUUGGCACUGGUGCUGUUGCCACGCUGGAACCUACAGCUCCUCGCUCUGGUACCCAUGCCCCUCACUGCUCUGGCCAGCUCAGCUGCCCAUGCGCCUCUGAUGCUUGUUAAGGGUGUGAUUUUAACUGCAGGAAUGCAUCUGGCUGAGGUAUAUUCCUCCUCGGGGAGGAAAGAGCAUGAGCCAUCGGAAGCGGACCCUCU
rnacentral:lncRNA from 1 species